CGGCCGCGGUACUCUAACCGUGCAAAGGUAGCACAAUCAAUUGUUCUUUAAAUGAGGACUAGAAUCAACGGCAUCACGAGGAUCCUACUGUCUCCCCCCUCUAAUCAGUGAAAUUAAUCUCCCCGUGAAGAAGCGGGGAUAAAAAUAUAAGACGAGAAGACCCCAUGGAGCUUUAAACCCAACAACACCCAUUUAUUUUAUAUCCUCAUAUUUAUAUGGUUAUGUUUGUUUAGUUUUAGGUUGGGGUGACCACGGAGUAUAAAAUAGCCUCCAUGAAGAAAAGACUAAUAAUCUUUAUUAGAGAAAUACAUUUCUAAAAAUUAAUAAAUUAACUUUUAAUAAUCCAAUAUUUGAUCAACGAACCAAGUUACCCUAGGGGAUAACAGCGCAAUCCACUUUAAGAGCCCAUAUCGACAAGUGGGUUUACGACCUCGAUGUUGGAUCAGGGUAUCACAGUGGUGCAGCAGCUACUAAUGGGUUCGUUUGUUCAACGAUUAAAACCCUACGUGAUCUG
rnacentral:rRNA from 1 species